rnacentral:lncRNA from 1 species
GCAGUGAUGGAUCACCGUUUUAGUGGCAUUUAAAUCCCCGGCGCUCCGCCGUCUAGGUGACGCGCAGUCGCCCCCCCAGGCAGCCUAGGCGGCGGCAGCUGCUGCGGCGACUGCAAAGGCCGAUUUGGAGUGCUGGAGCGAAGAAGAGCAAAAGCUGCGUUCUGCGCGCGCCCGACUCCGCUGCCCGCCCCGCCAGGCCUCCGGGAGGUGGGGGCUGGGAGGCGUCCCCCGCUCCCGCCCCCUCCCCACCGUUCAAUGAAAGAUGAACUGGCGAGAGGUCUGUUUUGCCUGAACCCAUCAACAGCUGGGAGAUUAAUCAACCACACUGAAAAUGUGGAGGGAUUUAUGGGGGAGGGGGUUGAAAUGUGGGUGUUUGAAACAAAAGUGUAUAAACAAAUGAAUUGUUGAUAACUUAGUUAUUGACCUGGAGACUGGUAGCUUAUUAAAGAAACUCCGUGUUACUCAUUCCUGGAGUUGGGGGUUUCUGUAGGCACUUUAUUUCUCCACUUUCAAGAGCUUGGGCUUGGCCCAAAUCUUAGACUGUCCAAUUCUGCCUCUAUUACCAAUUUAAAUCUAUGGCUUGAACCUGUGCACUGAAAAUCAAAUCCUUUAAAAAGAAAGAGGAGAAGAAGAAGCAAAAAAGAAAGAAAAAACACUUAUUAGAAGCCCUAGUCAUUUUUUGGCUUUCUGUUUUGUUGCUGUCCAUUGAAGACUUUGAACAUGCCGCCUUAAUAAAUGUAUUAAAAUUGAAAAAA